UAAAAGAAACACUUCCACAUGAAGCAGGACGCUUUAAGUCGUUACUUCAUUGGAGUAAAGAUACCUGGAUGAUCUGUAACUAUAAAGCAAUAAUUCACUAAAAAUAUAAGAACUCAAAGCAAUAAGUGAGUAUUGCCUACUUCCAACUAGUGCCCUUGGAAAAUUACAUCAAUUCCAUCGAUUGCUUUAGAAAUGUUGGUGGAACUGCCACCAAAACUGAACCAGGCUGUGAGCUGCUUCAGGGAAAUGACCAAAUCUUAUACUUCCCCGUAUCCCCAACUCCUGGCACCAAAAUUGGCAUAGAUGAAAUGCUUGGAUAUCUCCUUCUUUGGCACAGGGAACGAUGUUUCACUCCCCGUUGCAGCCCAACUGAGGCCAUGUGACUACUUCUGGCCACUGAACUGUGAGGGAAUGUGACGUGUGUCACUUCUGAAACAUUACCAGUCUCUAUCUUUUUGUACCGAGGCAAACCUGGAUGACAUCUGAUGGGGCUAUUGUGGCUAUUAGGAAAAACCAGCAGAAUCUCUUACCACAAAUUGAAAAAUUGUAUUUAUAUAUUUUUUUUCCGAUUCUCCAGGUCUUAAGGGAGACCUACUUUUUGUAUCUUAAGGAGAUCCUCCUACUUUUUUUGUAUCUUGAGCUAGUGAGGUGUACUGUGUCAUGGAAAGAUCUUAAUAAAAGUUUAUUAAUGAUACUAUGCAUUAUAUCCCUUCCUAACUCCAAAACAUGGAAUUGCAAAUGCGUAGUGCACAUUAUUGCAAUUUAGAAGAGUAUGAUGCCUGCUAUAUUUGAAAAUAGAUAAGAGAUUAAAGGAAAAUAAGUAAUCACCGAAUAUUUUUGGAAUUCAAGUGCAUUUGGAUUAUAGCAACCUCUGUAUGUAGCGUGUAUUCAAUAGGUAAGUUUCAAAUAUCUAUUUGUACCAGGAGCCAGGAAAACAGGUAACUAAAGACUCAGAACCAGAUCUCACCAGAUCCACAGACUAACUGGAAAGAAACUCCUGGAAACAAGUAACCAGCAGAUAAGCGGCAAUAGUGCAAUGCAUAGGGUGUUAUGGCUGGAUGAAGAAGCAAGGGGCGAUUUAUUCCUGGUGAUCCAGGAAACCUUCAAGAGGAGAGGUGCCGCUUGAAGGAGGUUGGGGUCAAAUAGGCUAUAAAUUUAGUUUUGAAGUUCAAGCGUGUCCCUAAUAAAGGUGUUUAAAAUAAACGCACGUUAGCCUGACUUUGUUUACGGAAUAGAACGGAGCGAAUGUUUUCAAACUAUAUUUGCACAAAUUUUUCCAUGAAGAUGAGCUUCUAUU